rnacentral:misc_RNA from 1 species
AAACGGAUCAAACCCUAGUAACGUACUCAUCCAGAAGCUUAAUGUACCACUUAAACCUGUAGGCAGCGACUGAGUAAAGAUGAAAAUGGACGUAACCAUGGGGGAACCCGGCGAGAUACUGCCGGAGCACAAGCCGGAAAGGUCGCCGCACGAGGUUCUGCAGCAAAGCAAAGCUUCAGUAGAGGAAUUCGUCUCGAAAAUGCUCUCUAUGAAGAAAGAAAGCACGCCGAAAUCUGAAAUUCGCGAACUUGUCACUCAGAUUUUCAUCAACUUCGUCUCUCUCCGUCAGGCAAAUAGAUCAAUAUUGCUCGAAGAGGAUCG